rnacentral:rRNA from 1 species
UACGUAGGGACCAAGCGUUGUUCGGAUUUACUGGGCGUAAAGGGCGCGUAGGCGGCUUAACAAGUCACUUGUGAAAUCUCCGGGCUUAACUCGGAACGGCCAAGUGAAACUGUCAAGCUAGAGUGCAGAAGGGGCAAUCGGAAUUCUUGGUGUAGCGGUGAAAUGCGUAGAUAUCAAGAGGAACACCUGAGGUGAAGACGGGUUGCUGGGCUGACACUGAGACGCGAAAGCGUGGGGAGCAAACAGG